rnacentral:rRNA from 1 species
UACAGAGGUCUCAAGCGUUGUUCGGAUUCAUUGGGCGUAAAGGGUGCGUAGGCGGCGGGGUAAGUCAGGUGUGAAAUCUCGGGGCUCAACCCCGAAACUGCACUUGAUACUGCCUUGCUCGAGUACUGGAGAGGAGAUUGGAAUUUACGGUGUAGCAGUGAGAUGCGUAGAUAUCGUAAGGAAGACCAGUGGCGAAGGCGAAUCUCUGGACAGUUACUGACACUGAGGCACGAAGGCCAGGGGAGCAAACGGG